rnacentral:rRNA from 1 species
UACGAAAGGGGCUAGCGUUGUUCGGAAUUACUGGGCGUAAAGCGCACGUAGGCGGCCUUGUAAGUUGGGGGUGAAAUCCCCGGGCUCAACCCGGGAACUGCCUUCAAGACUGCAAAGCUGGAGGAUGCGAGAGGUUGGCGGAAUUCCGAGUGUAGAGGUGAAAUUCGUAGAUAUUCGGAAGAACACCAGUGGCGAAGGCGGCCAACUGGCGCAUUUCUGACGCUGAGGUGCGAAAGCGUGGGGAGCAAACAGG